AAUAUCAAUUUGCAAAACUCCUCUGUUAGCAAAUGUUACUAGUGGAAAACUCUCGUACCAUGUCGCAAAAAGUGCCACACUCCAAACCGAACAAAACAGAAACUGUUGUCGUAAAACUCUAUCCAGCAAUGAGCAGAACUGCUAGAAGUGUUUCGACAUCCACAUACUCACAAACAAAGAGUCCUGGAGUGAAGCAAUGAAAAUCUGCAUUGAGACGAACACAUAACAUCGGAAAAGAACCGAUGUGAUGCCUAUGAAUUAUAGUAAAAUGGUGAUACAAUUCUGCUAACCUUCUGUACUAAA
rnacentral:lncRNA from 1 species